rnacentral:rRNA from 1 species
CAGAGGGUGCAAGCGUUGCUCGGAGUUAUUGGGCGUAAAGGGUAGGUAGGUGGUCUCAUUUGUCAGGGGUGAAAGCCUUGGGCUUAACCCAAGAAGUGCCUUUGAAACGGUGAGACUGGAGUCCUGGAGAGGGUCGUGGAAUUCCCGGUGUAGCGGUGAAAUGCGUAGAGAUCGGGAGGAACACCAGCGGCGAAGGCGGCGACCUGGACAGGUACUGACACUCAACUACGAAAGCGUGGGGAGCAAACAGGAUUAGAUACCCUGGUAGUCCACGCUGUAAACGAUGGGUACUAGGUUUGGUGGGUCUUGACCCCCGCCGAACCGGCGCUAACGCACUAAGUACCCCGCCUGGGAAGUACGGUCGCAAGACUA